rnacentral:rRNA from 1 species
AGCUCCAAUAGCGUAUAUUAAAGUUGCUGCAGUUAAAAAGCUCGUAGUUGCAUUUCCGAGGCAAGGGAUUAGUCCGACCUUUGGUGGGUAUUUAAUCCUCUUGCCUCGUCCUUGAGUGGUGCUUCUUGGUAUUAAGUUAUCGAGGAGAUAGCCGCUCAUCGUUUACUGUGAGAAAAUUAGAGUGUUCAAAGCAGGCUUAUGCCGUUGAAUAUAUUAGCAUGGAAUAAUAAGAUAGGACCUCGGUACUAUUUUGUUGGUUUGAGAACCAAGGUAAUGAUGAAUAGGGACAGUUGGGGGUAUUCGUAUUCAGUUGUCAGAGGUGAAAUUCUUAGAUUUACGGAAGACGAACUACUGCGAAAGCAUUUGUCAAAGAUGUUUUCA